GUCCUUGUAGAUUAGUGGUUAGAUCAUCACGUUGUGGAUCAUGCACUCCUUAGGACCGUGAAAACGGAGGCUCGAAUCCUCCCUGGGACA
rnacentral:tRNA from 1 species